rnacentral:rRNA from 1 species
CAAGUUAGUACAGCAGUGAGGAAUCUUGGUCAAUGGCCUAACGGCUGAACUGGCAACUUGGAGAAGUGGUAAGUUUUAAAAUUAAUAGUUAAUACAACGCAAGUUGCACUAUUAGUAUAAAAUUCUAUUAGAAUUGAAUGAAGCUUUGUUUAUAUAUUGAUAAUGACAGUAUAUAUAUUGUGUCUUGACCAAUUACGUGCCAGCAGUCGCGGUAAUACGUAAGAGACUAGUGUUAUUCAUCUUAAUUAGGUUUAAAGGGUACCCAGACGGUCAAUAUAGCUUCUAUAAUGUUAGUACUUGACUAGAGUUUUAUGUAAGAGGGCAGUACUUGAGGAGGAGAGAUGAAAUUCCGUGAUACCAAAGGGACUCUGUAAAGGCGAAGGCAGCCCUCUAUGUAUAAACUGACGUUGAAGGACGAAGGCACAGAGAACAAACAGGAUUAGAUACCCUAAUAGUCUUUGCAGUAAAUGAUGAAUGCCAUAGGUCAGCAUGGGAUUAUAUGAGUAAAUAAUACUCUUCCCUUGGUCUAUAAAUGAAAGUGUAAGCAUUUCACCUCAAGAGUAAUGUGGCAACGCAGGAACUGAAAUCACUAGACCGUUUCUGACACCAGUAGUGAAGUAUGUUGUUUAAUUCGAUGAUCCACGAAAAACCUUACCACAAUUUGAAUAAUUAUAUUACAGGAGUUGCACGGCUGUUUCCAGUUAAUGUUGUGAAACUGUGGUUUCCAUGAAAUUAACGUAAUCCCUGGCUUUAUUUUUAUAAGUUCAUUGCAGCUAUUACGAUAAAGCAUUCGAUCCUGGAAAUUUGGAAAGAGAAAGGGGACAAAGACAAGUCAUCAUGGCCUGCUGAGUGAUCUAGGAAAUCACCAUCGUGGGAUAAACUAUCAAACUCCGGGGACGCCCUAAAGCUUAUGAUACCAAGCUAUAUAUGAAAAUAUAUAAGUGGCUGAAGUAAUUACUCAGGUAUGGUAACAAGUCAUAAGAUGCGUGAAAACAAAAUCCGAAUUGGGUAAUUCAGAGUAUAUAUUUAAAGGUAUACCUGAUCCUCAAUGAAUGGCAGGAUUUUCAAGUGGAGAUAGUAGCUUUAAUAUAAAAAUUAGUAAAUCUGAAACUACUAAGUUAGGUAUAAGAGUUCAAUUAAGAUUCGCAAUAGAUUUGCAUCUUAAAGAAAAAGAAUUUGUAAAUUACUUAACAGCUUAUUUUAACUUAGAUAAAAACAAAUAUGUUUACUUAUCUAGGAAUUCUGUAAAAUUCGAAACUACUAAUACUAAGGAUAUCAGUGAGGUAUUAAUACCUUUCUUUAUAAAGUAUCCUAUACUAGGUAAGAAAAGUUUAGAUUUCGCAGAUUUUAAUAAAGUAGCUAAGAUGGUUAAUAAUAGAGAACAUUUAACUAAGGAUGGAUUAGCUGAGAUAUUAAUUAUAAAAUCUAAUAUGAAUCAGUAAAAGUUGUAGUAUGGAUCGUUCGAUUUAUUUGUAUGAUAAAUUUGAUCGCUGUGUGAUAUUGUGGGCUAUAGACGUGCCACAUAUACCUAAACAAAGAGAUGCAAAAAUGUGAAUUUAAGCUAAUCUCAAAAAAUAGGAUAUAAAUUUUAAGGAUUAUAGUCUGAAAUUCGACUAUAUGAAUAAGUAAUUACUAGUAAUCGUGAAUCACCAUGUCACGGUGAAUAUAGCUUGGAUUGGUACUAACCACUCGUCACAUGCUGAAAGGAGCAUGCGCAAUAAGUUUGCUUUCUUAAUAACAAGUAAAAAAAACAAGUAAGUUUUAUAUAUUCUUCUAUUGGGAAUCUUCGUAUGCGUGGCUCUAAUUAGUGUUAAGUCGAAAUACGGUUCGCGUAGUGGAAGUUGCGCGGGAUAAAUU